rnacentral:rRNA from 1 species
AUUGAACGCUGGCGGCAGGCCUAACACAUGCAAGUCGAGCGGAGCGGCGGACGCGUGAGUAUUGACUAGGUAUCUGCCUGGUCGUGGGGGAUAACGUUCGGAACCGGGCGCUAAUACCGCUUACUCUCACACUAGCAUAGGCCGGAUUAGCUUGUUGGUGGGGUAAAGGCCUACCAAGGCGACGAUCCGUAUCUGGUCUGAGAGGAUGAUCAGUCACACUGGAACUGAGACACGGUCCAGACUCCUACGGGAGGCAGCAGUGGGGAAUAUUGCACAAUGGGCGCAAGCCUGAUGCAGCCAUGCCGCGUGUAUGAAGAAGGCCUUCGGGUUGUAAAGUACUUUCAGCGGGGAGGCGUUACCCGCAGAAGAAGCACCGGCUAACUCCGUGCCAGCAGCCGCGGUAAUAC